CUACGGGCGCACCAGUGGGGAAUAUUGGACAAUGGGCGAAAGCCUGAUCCAGCAAUGCCGCGUGAGUGAUGAAGGCCUUAGGGUUGUAAAGCUCUUUUACCCGGGAUGAUAAUGACAGUACCGGGAGAAUAAGCUCCGGCUAACUUCGUGCCAGCAGCCGCGGUAAUACGAGGGGAGCUAGCGUUAUUCGGAAUUACUGGGCGUAAAGCGCACGUAGGCGGCUUUGUAAGUUAGAGGUGAAAGCCCAGAGCUCAACUCUGGAAUUGCCUUUAAGACUGCAUCGCUUGAAUCCAGGAGAGGUGAGUGGAAUUCCGAGUGUAGAGGUGAAAUUCGUAGAUAUUCGGAAGAACACCAGUGGCGAAGGCGGCUCACUGGACUGGUAUUGACGCUGAGGUGCGAAAGCGUGGGGAGCAAACAGGAUUAGAUACCCUUGUAGUC
rnacentral:rRNA from 1 species